UACGUAGGGUGCGAGCGUUAAUCGGAAUUACUGGGCGUAAAGCGUGCGCAGGCGGUUUUGUAAGCCAGGUGUGAAAUCCCCGGGCUCAACCUGGGAAUGGCAUUUGGGACUGCAAGGCUGGAGUGCGGCAGAGGAGACUGGAAUUCCUGGUGUAGCAGUGAAAUGCGUAGAUAUCAGGAGGAACACCGAUGGCGAAGGCAGGUCUCUGGGCUGACACUGACGCUCAUGCACGAAAGCUAGGGGAGCAAACAGG
rnacentral:rRNA from 1 species